AAAUUGAAGAGUUUGAUCAUGGCUCAGAUUGAACGCUGGCGGCAGGCCUAACACAUGCAAGUCGAACGGUAACAGGAAGCAGCUUGCUGCUUCGCUGACGAGUGGCGGACGGGUGAGUAAUGUCUGGGAAACUGCCUGAUGGAGGGGGAUAACUACUGGAAACGGUGGCUAAUACCGCAUAACGUCGCAAGACCAAAGAGGGGGACCUUCGGGCCUCUUGCCAUCAGAUGUGCCCAGAUGGGAUUAGCUUGUUGGUGAGGUAACGGCUCACCAAGGCGACGAUCCCUAGCUGGUCUGAGAGGAUGACCAGCCACACUGGAACUGAGACACGGUCCAGACUCCUACGGGAGGCAGCAGUGGGGAAUAUUGCACAAUGGGCGCAAGCCUGAUGCAGCCAUGCCGCGUGUAUGAAGAAGGCCUUCGGGUUGUAAAGUACUUUCAGCGGGGAGGAAGGUGUUGUGGUUAAUAACCGCAGCAAUUGACGUUACCCGCAGAAGAAGCACCGGCUAACUCCGUGCCAGCAGCCGCGGUAAUACGGAGGGUGCAAGCGUUAAUCGGAAUUACUGGGCGUAAAGCGCACGCAGGCGGUCUGUCAAGUCGGAUGUGAAAUCCCCGGGCUCAACCUGGGAACUGCAUUCGAAACUGGCAGGCUUGAGUCUUGUAGAGGGGGGUAGAAUUCCAGGUGUAGCGGUGAAAUGCGUAGAGAUCUGGAGGAAUACCGGUGGCGAAGGCGGCCCCCUGGACAAAGACUGACGCUCAGGUGCGAAAGCGUGGGGAGCAAACAGGAUUAGAUACCCUGGUAGUCCACGCCGUAAACGAUGUCUACUUGGAGGUUGUGCCCUUGAGGCGUGGCUUCCGGAGCUAACGCGUUAAGUAGACCGCCUGGGGAGUACGGCCGCAAGGUUAAAACUCAAAUGAAUUGACGGGGGCCCGCACAAGCGGUGGAGCAUGUGGUUUAAUUCGAUGCAACGCGAAGAACCUUACCUGGUCUUGACAUCCACAGAAGAAUCCAGAGAUGGAUUUGUGCCUUCGGGAACUGUGAGACAGGUGCUGCAUGGCUGUCGUCAGCUCGUGUUGUGAAAUGUUGGGUUAAGUCCCGCAACGAGCGCAACCCUUAU
rnacentral:rRNA from 1 species